rnacentral:rRNA from 2 species
UACGUAGGGUGCGAGCGUUAAUCGGAAUUACUGGGCGUAAAGCGUGCGCAGGCGGUUUUGUAAGACAGGCGUGAAAUCCCCGGGCUCAACCUGGGAACUGCGCUUGUGACUGCAAGGCUAGAGUAUGGCAGAGGGGGGUGGAAUUCCACGUGUAGCAGUGAAAUGCGUAGAGAUGUGGAGGAACACCAAUGGCGAAGGCAGCCCCCUGGGCCAAUACUGACGCUCAUGCACGAAAGCGUGGGUAGCAAACAGG